rnacentral:ncRNA from 1 species
GGCAUUCGUAUUUCAUUGUCAGAGGUGAAAUUCUUGGAUUUAUGAAAGAUGAACCACUGCGAAAGCAUUUUCCAAGGAUGUUUUCAUUAAUCAAGAACGAAAGUUGGGAGCUCGAAGACGAUCAGAUAUUGUCCUAGUCUCAACCAUAAACGAUGCCGACCAGGGAUCGGCGGAUGUUUCUCUAAGGACUCUGCCAACACCUUCUGAGAAAUAAGAGUGUUUGGGUUCCGGGGGGAGUAUGGUCGCAAGGCUGAAACUUAAAGGAAUUGACGGAAGGGCACCAGCAGGAGUGGAGCCUGUGGCUUAAUUUGACUCAACACGGGAAAACUUACCAGGUCCAGACAUAGUAAGGAUUGACAUAUUGAGAGCUCUUUCUUGAUUCUAUGGGUAGUGGUGCAUGGCCGUUCUUAGUUGGUGGAGAAAUUUGUCUGGUUAAUUAUGAUAACCAACAAGACCUGAUCCUACUAACAAGCUACACAGAGGUUCCCCUUCGUGGCCAGCUUCUUAGAGGGACUAUGGUUGUUUAGGCCAUGGAAGUUUGAGGCAAUAACAGGUCUGUGAUGCCCUUAUAUGUUCUAGGCCACACGCGUGCUACACUGAUGCAGUCAAUGAGUUUUUCUCCCUGGUUCGAGAGGAUCGGGAAAUCUUCUCAAAUUGCAUCAUGAUUGGGAUAGACCAUUGCAAUUAUUGGUCUUCAACGAGGAAUUCCUAGUAAGCGCAUGUCAUCAGCUCAUGUUGACUACGUCCCUGCCCU